rnacentral:rRNA from 1 species
UACGUAGGUGACAAGCGUUGUCCGGAUUUACUGGGCGUAAAGAGCGCGCAGGCGGUCGUUCAAGUCGAGUGUGAAAGCCCCCGGCUCAACUGGGGAGGGUCAUUCGAUACUGAUCGACUCGAAGGCAGGAGAGGGAAGUGGAAUUCCCGGUGUAGUGGUGAAAUGCGUAGAUAUCGGGAGGAACACCAGUGGCGAAGGCGGCUCACUGGCCCGGUACUGACGCUGAGGUGCGAAAGCGUGGGGAGCAAACAGG